rnacentral:lncRNA from 1 species
AAGAAAGUCAGGGUAGGGGAGAAGCCCUGGGAACCCAGGAAACAAAGCCAGGCCCGGUUGGCAGCUCCAUGCCGAGCCCUUUUGCCAAAUGUCCUACUGGGAAUUUUACCAGUGAAGGGAGGGAGUUAAUGCCACUCCGAGAGGAGGGGCCAGGCGGCCCUACCACCUCCCAGGUCCAGGAAUCAGUUUGCAAACAUAAAUGCUAAGGGGGCGUCCUGACAGCCUGUCUGGGAUCAGAGCUCAGGGGUCCUCCUUCCAACAAAGGCAAGGCAGCAGGUCCCACUCAGCCCCUUCCUAGACGCUUUGGAACCGCUCUGAAUGGAAACAUGACACCUCUCGAUGACCCCCUACAAACUCUGACCCGGGAUACAACUUUGUGCCUCGGGAUCCUGCAGAAGAUGACCCAGGGGUGCUAGACGCAGCGGCGAGGUUUGGAAAUCUGCAGAGACCAGAAUCGCCGGCCGCAGUGUGCCUUCGGCAUACGGCAAAGACACCCAGUGACCCUUCACCUCCCCCAGCCUCCAGCAAGAGGCCAGCAGCCAAGCUGAGCCUCCAACCCCAGGAGCCGAGCAUGCUGCCCCCGCGUGCAGCGCCCGCGUGCACCGGGCCGGGAGAGGGGGCGACAGGGCGGAGGCGGUGGCCCCCGGAAGGUGUCUGGGACCGGACCGGCUGCACGUGAGCCCAGCGCGAGGUCAUGUGCACCGGCUCAGCCCGGUUCGGCGCCCGGACGUGCUGCGUAUCAACAAAAUGAAACUCGGGGAGACAGGAGGGCAGAUAGCUCCAGGUUCUCGGAGCCCCCGCCCGGGCCGCUCGACCUCCCCACCGUACCCAUCUCCCGCCGCAGCCCCUACGCCCGGCCGGAGCCCGCGGGGAAGUUGCAGCCCUGGCGCGCCCCCGCCCGCCCGCGCCCCCUCGCCGGCCCGGGGGCGCUUUGCCGCAGUCAUUAAUAAAGAAGGUCGCCAAGCUCA